rnacentral:rRNA from 1 species
UACGGAGGGAGCUAGCGUUAUUCGGAAUUACUGGGCGUAAAGCGCACGUAGGCGGCUUUGUAAGUUAGAGGUGAAAGCCUGGAGCUCAACUCCAGAACUGCCUUUAAGACUGCAUCGCUUGAAUCCAGGAGAGGUGAGUGGAAUUCCGAGUGUAGAGGUGAAAUUCGUAGAUAUUCGGAAGAACACCAGUGGCGAAGGCGGCUCACUGGACUGGGUAUUGACGCCGUGGAGGUGGACGAAAGCGGUGGGGAGCAAAACAGGG